UUACAUACCUGGACGGGGACAAUGGGUGAUCAAUUAGGCCCAUUGCCUAGGAUAGUGGCCUCCAUUGCACAUAAUAGGAGGUGCGCUAACCUAACAUCUCUCCUUUGUGAGAGACUGUACGUCGUAAUUUGUGGCAGCUGGGGCCUGCGCAUGCCGCGGCCCCUCC